rnacentral:lncRNA from 1 species
UAAAUGUUGUAAAGGAAAGGUUAGAUAGAUGAAUUAUGAAAGAACUCUUGCCAGCUCAAUAUCCACAAACUUGCCUGAAAUGUGCACUAGUGUUGAAACACUCUCCCAUUCUAUCAAUAUAUGAGUAUUCCAACACUACUCCCGCACCAACCAGUUUUAGAUUUGAGAAUGCAUGGCUCCUAAUCCUCGAGAUUGCGGAUGUGGUGACUAAGAGUUAGAGUGGGAAGAAAGUAGAUAUUGUUAUCCGCAUAAAUUAGUGUGGGCAAUCACUAGAUGAGUGGGGUGUUUCACAAGCAAGUAAUUUCAACUUAAGGAUGAGCAAACUGUAUAACAAAAUCAUGACUACCAGGAAGUAGGGGUCUAGCAAGGAACAGGAACAACUACCAAACCUUAUUAGGGAGUAUGCACAGUUCUUUGAGUAGGAGGAUGCAUUCUGAAAAUAAAAAGCUAAAAAAUUUUGGCUUCAGAAUGAGGAUAGGAAUUCUAAGUACUUCCAUAGAUAUACUAACAUUCGUAAACGUAAAAAAAAAAUCACUUAACCGCCCUAAAGAAUGGGGGUGAUGUAUUCGUGAAUAGGAGCCCUUGCACGACCAUAUUUUAUAUUACUUUUUUAAGCUCUUCAAGGUGUUUGAUAGGGACUGUAAGGUGGUACUCUAGAAUGUGUCAAAUAGGGUGACAAAAACAUCCAACAAUGCAUUUGUAACUCCCCUCAGCCUGGAUGAGAUUAAGUUGGUGGUAUUAUAAAUAUACUUGGACAAGGUGUAAAGACCCAGAACUUAAAAUGAA